GAGAAAGAAGCAUUGAAAUAUGCGGCUAACUUGAAAUUAGUUGAAGGUGUGUUAGUGUCAUCCUUUCUUG
rnacentral:tRNA from 1 species